rnacentral:rRNA from 1 species
GACGAACGCUGGCGGCGUGCCUAAUACAUGCAAGUAGAACGCUGAAGAGAGGAGCUUGCUCUUCUUGGAUGAGUUGCGAACGGGUGAGUAACGCGUAGGUAACCUGCCUUGUAGCGGGGGAUAACUAUUGGAAACGAUAGCUAAUACCGCAUAACAAUGGAUGGCACAUGUCAUUUAUUUGAAAGGGGCAAUUGCUCCACUACAAGAUGGACCUGCGUUGUAUUAGCUAGUAGGUGAGGUAAUGGCUCACCUAGGCGACGAUACAUAGCCGACCUGAGAGGGUGAUCGGCCACACUGGGACUGGGACACGGCCCAGACUCCUACGGGAGGCAGCAGUAGGGAAUCUUCGGCAAUGGGGGCAACCCUGACCGAGCAACGCCGCGUGAGUGAAGAAGGUUUUCGGAUCGUAAAGCUCUGUUGUAAGUCAAGAACGGGUGUGAGAGUGGAAAGUUCACACUGUGACGGUAGCUUACCAGAAAGGGACGGCUAACUACGUG